rnacentral:lncRNA from 1 species
ACUGGACAACCAUGACUUUGUUUCCCUUUGCAGAAAGAACAUGCAUGCUGCUUGUAACAUAUAAUUUUUGACCGGCCAUGUUUGAUUCAACAGGUUUUCUCAGCAACCAUGGAAAUCUCCAAGAAAGUCCAGGUCUACUAAUUAAGAAGGUGCAGGGAAAUCAAAGAUUCCCAUACCGAUCUGCCAUGGACUCAUGGGAUGUGUAGUGUUUGCUUUUUCCAACACAAAUUGUGCAUGCUUUGUUCAGUUUCUGUAAGAUUGCUUCCAAAAGUUGCAGAGAUAUCCCCGAUAUCGCGCUAAGCAUAGCUAGUAUGUGCUUUUCACGAAGCUGAUUUAAGACUAAAAGGAAAUUAAGCAGGGCACGCCCAAACUAAAGCUAGCUAAACUUUCUGUUUAGUGGCACGGUGAGGGUCACACUUAUGUACAACGGUCCCCAAUUGUCGAUGUAUAUGGCAUCAACUUCCAAAUUUGUAUUAAAAAGCCAUAUGCUACAGCCUACAAGUGACAGGAUCCACCCCUAAUUUCACCCUGAAACCCAAGGUAAAUCCUGCGGGGUCCACCUUCAAGGAAAAUUUACCGAAAAUUCGGCAUAACCUUCCUUGAAAAUUGACAACCAUUACCUGAAAAAUUCAACUUAAUACUUCUAUAACCAAACAAACCAGCCUCAACACCUGGAGCCUUCCUGCUCCCCAAGAUCAACACAUCUCCCAAUAUAACAAUUACUCAACUCUAAUAAUCCCACAACCAAGAAUAAGGACUAUUAAUAAUUUACUAUUGGACUUUCAGAGCAUAUCUAAAGUUGAACGAAAAACAACGAAUAAAGAAUAUGCGGAAGCAGCCUCUGACUAUGCCUCAACUCCAUGUACGCUCGACCUCCUUUAAAACUUAACCUGCACACUGGGCAUUUGAAACCAAAGGGCCCAGGGAAAAGUAAUAUAAAAACGUUAGUGAGUGGACGAAAAAUUAAACAAAUAACUGAUCGCAACAUAACUAACCAAACUUAAUUACUUUCCCAUUUUCCAAUAAUCAAGAAAUCUGUUGCAUGCAAGUGUUGAUAAAACUUUCAUAAAGAAAAUCUCAAGAAAACAGACUAGCCCCGCUAGUCAAAUUAAUGACAAAAAUAAAUAAUAACCUUCAUAGAAGAAGGUACCAAAACAAGGGACUAGCCCCGCUAGUCAAAACGACAACAAUAAAUAAGAAACAAAUAUAGCCAUACAAGUGAGCCUCCCAGACUCGGUUGCCUCCCAGGCAAUAGUACUCCCAUACUCCCUACACCUUCAUGUUAUGAUAACAGAGAGGAUGUAGGGCUUGCGUGAUGUCGUCGACUACAUCACAUCACCCGAAGGCGGAAAGGGCUUGAGUAACCCCACUUAAAACGUGGAAGUUACAUCGCCUCGAAAGGCGGAACAACAUGGUAGCAUUAGUAAUAUAUUAUCCGACAAGUAUGGCAUAAGUAAAGAAUCAUAUAUCCAUGUGAGUUUCCCCGAAACUCAUAAUUAAAGCAUAAGUACGAUUCCCAACCGUACUCAAAGAAUUCAAAGAGCAAAGAAAAUAAUUAAAUUCAAUGACGUGUCCCACACGUUAAAAUGCUCAAUGAAAUAAUUAAUUUAAAUAAUUUUCACCUUUCGAAAACCUGGCAAUAUGCAAAUCUGGAUAUAAUCUCAAAUCCGGAAAUCAUAAAGAAAAUCCAAACUCAAAUCUCAAAUUAUCAAUCCGAGCUCAAAUCCAUAAAUUAUGACCAACAUUUAAUCCAUGCAUCAAUCUUAAAUAAUUUCCAAGAUCAUUUCAUAUGCCGAAGUUAUAAUAUAUGCUCGGAAAAUAAAAUACUAAUUUAUAAAAUCUUGCAUGCAUGUUAAUUAAAAACCAAAAUGUCCACUCACAGAUUUAGGCCUAAGCCUGACGAAUUCCGAAUCACCACUCAAGCGUGGUCUCCUCGAAUCCUGGUACAACAACUAUGUUUAGGACCAAACUUCAAUGCCGGAAAAUAAUUACGUGAAUAAAAAAUAUCUAACUCUUUUCUGUUUAACCCACUACUCUUAUUAGGGUUAAACUCACCGGAUUCACAUCAAACUCCACCACAACCUCAAAUCAUCAAUUCUAACAUUCCAGGCUAAAUACUAAGGAAAUUCAACGGCCGGAUUUUCAUUCUAAUAACCGGCAAAAUCUUUAAUCUUUUAAAAAUCCCAAACCUUAUCAAAACUUCUCCAAAAAUUCUAAACUAUAUUUCAUUAAACUCCUCUCAUUAUAAAAAACCCAAAAACCUGAAAAUCAACCUCCAAGUGACGGCGCCGCCACUUGCUCCGCCGGCAGCGGCGGCCGGCAGCCGUACUCUUACGGCGACCAAUGCCUCCCAAAUUUUGACAGAAUAAUCCUCUCAUCACGCACAACAACUUCCGUAACUAGCACUUAGUCCAAUUCUAAGCCUAACUAGGGUAAUCGAAUCAAAACAUCUAAAAAUUCCCCAAUUCAAACCCUAGCCCGAAAAUCCUCCUACACACUUCGAAUUGGAUCAUUACCUUCUAGGAAAAUGUUACACACGGAGAGCACUUCCCAAUGGAACUGAAAUCACUAGAAAUGGUGGCCGGAGGAGCGAGUUCCGGCGUCGGGACUCCACCACGCAGCCGGAGCUUCCGGGAGAGCUCUCUCCCUCACGGUGGCACUAAGGCAGCUCUCAUCGGUCCAGGAAGAAGGCUGGGUCGACGGCUGACCGUUUGGGACCGGUGCGCCGGUCUAUGGUGGCCGGACGGCGGCGGUCGGAACCAAGGAAUCCGGCGGGUCGGGGUAGGCUCGGGAGAGAGAGAGAGAGAGAGAGAGAGAGAGAGAGAGAGAGAGAGAGAGAGAGAGAGAGAGANNNNNNNNNNNNNNNNNNNNUAAAAUCCCACUCCAACAAUAAAACACCUCCAAAAAUACCUACUAAAACAAUUAACCUCUCUUUACCAAAUAAAGUCUACUCUUUUUAUCUAAUCAAUUUUUCAUGCUAACUCCGAUUUUAACGUUUAGCAUGUCUACGAACUCGUAUUAACGUCCUUUACAACUUUCAUGAAGAAAGUUUUCCCAAAUUCCAAACGAAAGAAAAAGUCAACUUUUAGAGUCUUAAAUAGUAAACGGUUACUUAAAACAGUAAAAUGUCAAAGUAACCCAAAAGUAAAUAACCGCAAAUUGACUUAAGAACCGGGAUGUGACAACAAGAGGACGUACUGCCACUUCAUCCUUCUAUACAAUGACUUAUUUGGAAUGAU